rnacentral:ncRNA from 1 species
UACAUUUCUAUGAAUGGAUGAGUAUAAAGCAGAACACUUGUACAAGAGAGCCGGGUGAGGUGAAAGCCGGUCAAGUGUUGCUUUAGAAGAUGGUCCAGGAGAAUUUAUCUUCGAGCCUCAAUGGUAAGGGGAUGACGUUUGCCAGCGUUAGUGGCCUUGAGCCUUGUCUACAUAGAUGAGGGAAUUUUGGGUGGUACCACGUAAGUUAACCUUUCGUCCCGAUU